GACGGAGGGUGCUAGCGUUGUUCGGAAUGACUGGGCGUAAAGGGCGCGUAGGCGGCUCGUGAAGUCGGGUGUGAAAGCCCGGGGCUCAACCCCGGAACGGCAUCCGAUACUGGCGGGCUUGAGACCGGGAGAGGAGGGUGGAAUACCCAGUGUAGAGGUGAAAUUCGUAGAUAUUGGGUGGAACACCGGUGGCGAAAGCGGCUCUCUGGCCCGGAUCUGACGCUGAGGCGCGAAAAGCGUGGGGGAGCAAACAGG
rnacentral:rRNA from 1 species